GUCAAGAUGGCCGAGUUGGUCUAAAGUGCUAGUUUCAUGUACUGGUCCGAAAGGACAUGGAUUUAAAUCCAUUUUUGACA
rnacentral:tRNA from 1 species